rnacentral:rRNA from 1 species
UGGCGGACGGGUGAGUAAUGUCUGGGAAACUGCCCGAUGGAGGGGGAUAACUACUGGAAACGGUAGCUAAUACCGCAUAACGUCGCAAGACCAAAGAGGGGGACCUUCGGGCCUCGCGCCAUCAGAUGAACCCAUAUGGGAUUAGCUAGUAGGUAAGGUAACGGCUUACCUAGGCGACGAUCCCUAGCUGGUCUGAGAGGAUGACCAGCCACACUGGAACUGAGACACGGUCCAG